CAGACAGCCAGGAUGUUGGCUUAGAAGCAGCCAUCAUUUAAAGAAAGCGUAAUAGCUCACUGGUCGAGUCGGCCUGCGCGGAAGAUGUAACGGGGCUAAACCAUGCACCGAAGCUGCGGCAGCGACGCUGAUGCGUUGUUGGGUAGGGGAGCGUUCUGUAAGCCUGUGAAGGUGGCCUGUGAGGGUUGCUGGAGGUAUCAGAAGUGCGAAUGCUGACAUAAGUAACGAUAAAGCGGGUGAAAAGCCCGCUCGCCGGAAGACCAAGGGUUCCUGUCCAACGUUAAUCGGGGCAGGGUGAGUCGACCCCUAAGGCGAGGCCGAAAGGCGUAGUCGAUGGGAAACGGGUUAAUAUUCCCGUACUUGGUGUUACUGCGAAGGGGGGACGGAGAAGGCUAUGUUGGCCGGGCGACGGUUGUCCCGGUUUAAGCGUGUAGG
rnacentral:rRNA from 1 species